rnacentral:rRNA from 1 species
AUUGAACGCUGGCGGCAGGCUUAACACAUGCAAGUCGAGCGAGCGGCGGACGGGUGAGUAAUGGCUGGGAAACUGCCUGAUGGAUGGGGAUAACUACGGGAAACGGUAGCUAAUACCGCAUACCAUCAGAUGUGCCCAGAUGGGAUUAGCUAGUAGGUGGGGUAAUGGCUCACCGAGGCGACGAUCCCUAGCUGGUCUGAGAGGAUGACCAGCCACACUGGAACUGAGACACGGACGAGACUCCUACGGCAGGCAGACGUGGGGAAUAUUGCACAAUGGGCGCAGGCGUGAUGCAGCCAUGCUGCGGGUGAGAAGAAGGCCGUCGGGUUGUAAAGCACUGUCAGCGAGGAGGCGUUACCCGAAGAAGAAGCACCGGCUAACUCCGUGCCAGCAGCCGCGGUAAUUC